GGACCGCUAGCUCAAUGGUAGAGCAAUUCCCUCUUAAGGAAUUGGUUCCGGGUUCGAGCCCCGGGCGGUCCU
rnacentral:tRNA from 1 species